rnacentral:lncRNA from 1 species
ACUGCUGGAUCUUUGGUUUUGUCUGUCACUCAGGGAGAGAAGAGCUGUCAUUUAGUUUGGCCCUACUCCAUUCCUUAUUCUCCUAAAAGAGUCACUCAAACCUCCAGGGAGUACCCUCUAAAGAGCAUCAGGUAAGUUUACACUGGAGGCCACAGGUAUUUGUGUACUCACACCUGGGGGGUAAGAGGCAGACAAAGUCACCUUUCCUCUUCCUAGAAGUGUCCCACCUUCACCCACCCCAGCUUCAGAGCUUCCAACCACUUAGUUAUCUAAUCUUAAGAAGCAUUAAUGAGACCUGCUAAGCUCCCAUGACUGGGGACGAGGGACAUCCGCUGGCCUGAAAGGUCUGGGUCUCUAGGAUGCUACAUCUGCUUGUAUAUGUUCUGAUCUGGGAGGGUGAAUUAAGCUGGAGAUCUCUGUUCCCUCAGUAGCAUUUGGAGACCCUCCCAUCCUCUUGCUCGGUUUCGAUUUGAUGACGACUGAAGGGAAGAUAUGAUAAAUGGCUUCAAACCAUCUUGUUCCUCCGAAUAAAACAAGUUCUUCUUACUUGCUUUUCCAUAUUGUUCAGAAUUGGGAAAUGGACAAGUGAGAAAAACUAAAACUAAGCUGAAGAAAACAGAAAGGCUGAGUUAAUCUCCAUAUUAAAAAAACUGAGCCUUAAAAGAGAGGGGAAGAGAAAUGAGAGUGAAUAAACAACACUGAGUGCCUGGUGUUGGUACAGUUUCUAUGCAGUUUUGGAAGGGAAGGAAAGAGAUGUUUUGAAGAGGUUGAUUUCUGUUACUGGUACCUGUAUCAAUCUAGCUAGCUGUCUGUAUUCAGAUAGGGUCUUUAGAAAUAUAAUUUUAAGAAAUUUUGCUCUGAGUGUUAAGGGGACCUCUCCUUGGCAAGUGACCUAAAUUAAAAUAUGUAAUUGCUUUUUGAAUUACUUCUUCAAAUCUGAUAGCUCUCUUAAACCAGGCCACAAAACUGUCCAGUUAUGGGCAGAUUUCAAAAAAAGGUUACAUUUCAAAUGCAAUGUGGAGGCUUCUAAAGUUGGCCUAAUAUACUUUAGCUACAGAUAUAUGGAAACCUAUCAACACAUUAGUGUUUAUCUAUGUAAAAUGCAUCCUUACAAUAUUGAAAUGUAGGCUUGCUCCUUGGUUCUUAACAAGCCUAAAGAGAGAUGCAUUAAAUAAUCAGUUCACAAAAUAGUUCCAUUCCAGGCAGCAAAGAAUCAGGCAAAAAGGCUGGGGCCUGGUCUCUCAACACUUAUGGGCAUGUGACAAGGCAAUGCCACCAAGCAUGGAAAAGAAGAUCCUGAGUGGGGUCCCAGGGGCCUCAGGGCUCCCUACCCCAGCUUCUCUUCUCUGGCUAAAUCCGUUCUGCUCUCAGCAGCAAGGCUGGGCCAGCGCAGACAAAGGCAGUGGAGAACCUCCUCCCUGCCUCCCCCUCCUUUUCCACGCACGCCCUUCGGCUGGGAUGAUACCGGUAAGUGGAUGUGUGGAACCCAGACAAGCAGGUCUCAUGUUUGCUUCUAGGUAGAGGGAUCAGACUUUGUGUCUGAAAUGGUGAGUCACACCAAGGUUCCGUGAGGGUGGGUCUCUCUCUAUCCACACACACACACACACCCACACACCCUCAGCUGGCCCCCAUGGCUAUGCAGGGUACCCUCUCUGUGGGCAGUGUCCUUUGCUAGGCACUGAGGGAAGUACAUCCAAGUAAGAUUCAUCCUCAGAUGUUUGCUGAGUACCUACCAUGUAGCUGGGUACCACGGAGAAUGAAAGUGCGCAAAAUUUAGAUUUCAAGUUGCUUAGCAUCUAGCUGGAGAAAAUAAAAGUAAAUACAAGGGGAGCUCAAUUUUUAUGUAAAUAUAGAAUCUUAGGUUUCUACUGAGAAUCAGAUUAUGAACAGAAAAAUAAAGACUUUCUGGGGACAGGACAAGACCUUAGGAAUCUGCCCCAGGAGAAGAGUAGAAUUGUGUCAAGCUGGGGCGAGUGGACUGGGGUAGUCAGGGCUACACCUGUGCAUUUCCCAUCACCACUGUGGGCCCAGAAAGAAGAGGUGCAGGACUAGAGUGUACGGCUGACCUAGGGCUGAGGACCUCUUGGGGGCCGAUAAGAAGGCCCUACUAGCAAUGGAAACCUUGGGGUGGGGUAGUUAAGACGGUGGUCCAGGCUGGGGAAGGAGGUAAGUGAUGGAAACUUAGAGGUUACAACAGGGAUAUAGUUGGUGAUUCUCAGAGAGAGUGGAACCCAGAGCUGUAGCGGCAAAGAGGAUGGAAGUACUGUCUGGUACAGGGAUCAAGGCUAACCAGAGAAGCAAGUUACUGCUCUUGGAAAUGAAGUUGAGACAACCCUAGAGGGAGGGGGGAAGAGUAAUGAGACAUAACUAUCUCCAAGUUAAACGAGCAGCUUCUGGCAUUUUGGGUUUUCCAAUCAGAGUAUAAAUAUUACCCUUGUAAUAUAAAAUCCAAAUGGUAUCUUCUCAGUGAAGCCUUUUUCAUCCUCAAAGGCUACGUCCUCUCUGUCUAAAGACACACUCGCUUCCGUAGCCUCUCCAGCAUCUACUAGGAAGUGUAGAAUGUUCCUCUUGGUUUUUGAGAUAUCUAGGUGUGUGAUCUGUUAGCCUCCGUGUUCAACCCUGGUUGGCAGAUUCGCAGGCGUCCUCCCCAAAGACCAGCACAGAGCCAGGCGCAUAACAAGAUCCCAGUAAAGGUUCCAGGAGUUAAUGUCAUGCUGUGCGGUGGGGGAGACCCGCGGCUGAGGGAGUUUUUCUUUGGGGGAAGAUUAAACAGUCUUAAGAAACAAAGUUUUCCAAGGGUGCCUACCAACAAGCUCAAAUGAAUGGGGAACUAAACACAGUAACUAUUGGUUGAAUGAUGGGUCCAAACAGAAGUUUACGGGAGGUUGAGCGGAGGGUGAUAGUCCUGGAGGUAACAGCUGCACCCUUUAGCCCAGAAGAGACGAGCAUGCGCAAAUAUGAGCAGGUGCACACCCCCCCUUCCCCAACAUGUAUACCUAUAGACUUAGGUGUCUGGCGAUGUUUCGUGUUUCUCCAUACGUCUGUUUCUCUUUGAGGAAGGGUAUAAAUAGAAUGGUAUCUUCAUGAUGCAAGUCUCACAUUUGCCUCUUGGCUCCUCCUUUUGUUUUAGGCUGUUGGGGAACUUGUCCUCACAGCCCAUGGGUCUAUGCCGGGGUGUGGUCUUGGAUGCACCAACAAUGAGUGGCUGUUUGCAUGGAAAGUACACCUCAGCAGUGGUAUGGUAAUAGAGAUCUCACCUAGACACACCCCAAAAUAUAAUCCCUCCAGAGUUAGUGAGCAUCUGCCCUGUUCUAGGCACUGAGGACUCAAAGAUAAAUCAGACGCGGUUUACCUAGAGCAGGUGGCAGACCCUGUGAAUGACUUCAAUAGUAGAUGGUGAGUGCUUUGAUAGAGUUAUUUGGAGGUUGUGGUAGCAGGUAGAGGGGGCUGUGAACCAGUCGGAAGGCACUGCUGAAUGCUUCCUAGAGGAGGCAGACCAGGCUCGGUAUUAUCUCCUCAGUGCACUCCUGGAAGCUGAGGUCAAAGAUACCCUCCCUUCUAGAGGUUUCCUGAUUUGGGAGAUAACUUUACCCAUCUCUCUGGCUCAGAGAAGUCUUCCUUCUUGAGCCCUUCCCCUCUACUCCUACCUACCUCUCGCUACACCAUUCCAUCGCACCACUAUUAUUGUGACAAAAGUUCAAAAGGGCCCAAAAUUGGGCAUUUAGGGGGAGAGCCCAGAGGUUGGUUCGAGGCACUGAGCAAUUUCUAGGUUCACGGGCCAUAGGAUAGGGUUCUGCUCUUGCUAUACCUCAAGGUCUUUGCGAGGUCUGAUCAGGCGGGGAAGGGUGGGAGUUACCAAGAACACCCCAUGUCUGCAGAGAGCCAGUGUGUCUACAGCAACAAAUAUUUAGGGAGCACCUACCAGGCACUUGGCCACCCUCUAGGCAGAGAGCGUACAGAAUGCAUCGGGGCCCACAUAGUCUCUUCUCCCUUGGAGCUUAGAUCCUCAUACAGAACAAGAGGUGAUAAAUACAUAUACGACCGAGAAAUAAGUAAAUAGCAUGGUUUCAGGUAAGUCAUGGAGGCUAUGAAGAAACAGCAACAUGAAUGUUUAACUAGGGUGGUAAGAGAAGGCAUCACUGAGGAAGAGAUGUUGGAGGUGGAGCUGGAUGAUGGCAAGAUGGUCAUACAAAGACCAUACCAGAUGGAUAGAGGCAGAGUAAGAGUGAGGGCAAAGGCCCUGAGACAGGGAUGGCUGUAAUGUAUUGCAUGAGCACUGAAUGACUAGUGCUCAGUGGCCCAGGAGCGCUGAGUUCAGGGAGGGGAGCAGGGACUGAGUCCAUGGGAGGUGCGGGCUGUAGAAGGGUCUGAGCUGGUAGUGACUUGGUCUAAGUUGCUUGAGAAAAGUCACCCAGACUACUCUAAGAAGGUGGGCUGAGCCAAGGCAUGACUCAGGGCUCCGGUUUUCUCCCUUGUCUUGGAUCCUUGUCAGAACCCAGAAAGCAUAUUUCUGUUAUAAGUUUUUAUUUUAAAUUUAGCCAGGAAGAAACCAACCUUGUGUAAGGUAGCCGUGAUACAAUUACUACUGCUGCGUGUAGAUCCCAUUACAUUGUAUUAUAUGUCAUGGCUUUUCUGGAAGAUUGUCUCGAUUUUAGAAGUAUACUCUUGGUCCAUCUGAGUAAAUUUGAUCUUGGUAGACCACACACUCCCACUUGAGGCCCAGAGGAGACAGGGUCACCCUGCUAGACCACACACUCCCAUUUGAGGUCCGGAGAGAGGGGCAGUGUACCAAGUGGGCUCCUGCAGAAGGAAUCCUCUUCUCUCCUUCUCCCAGGCAGAACUGCCACCUCAGGGGAGCCCUGCCAUACUGGUUAACUUGGCCUUCAUCCUUUCCUCCCACCUCUGCCCCUUGGAGUGCCUGGCUCCUCUGGAGUAUCCAGGCUGAUCAGUAAGAGUCACACAGGGCUGGUAGGUUCUGCCUCAUGGGUUGGAAACGAUACCUUUUAUUUCAUUUUCAGCUGCCUCAUGCCUAUAGCGGGGGACUUCAGAACAUGGAACAUAGCAUCGAGGCCACCCAGCAUUUCCAUUUUAUUUCCCUCUGCUUCCCACACUCCAGCCAGUCUGAACCCCUCAUUCCACUCACACCCACAGUGUCAUCCCUGUCUAUGCCUUCACUCAGCUCCAUCCCCCUGGACCCCGCUCCAUCUCCUUUUGGGAUCCAUUUCUUGGUGCUCAUUUUUUAAAGCCCAGGUCAUAUGUCAUCUCCAGGAAGGCACCUUAGAGUGUGAUAGCCCUUGUGAAAUUUCCCAUCACUGAGUAUUUGAAGCAUUUGCCCGGGCUCUGGAUUCAGACACAUCUGAGUUUGAAUCUCGGUGACUAGCUGAGUGACCUUGGGUGCAUGACUUGUCCUCUCUGAAUCUCAGUCUCCUUGACUCUGGGGUAAGGAGUCAUGGCGUUAUUGUGCCCAGAAGAUGAGAUCAUGCAGCUAAAGCCUUUAGACAUUGUGACUGUCCUACAACUGAUGCUCCAUGAAUGUCAGCAGUUAUUCCUAGCAGAGUCCCCUGUGCGUUUGUCUUUUUCCCUUUCUCCCUCUGAAUCCUGUAGGGCACAGACUGCCCUAUUCAUCAUCAUCUCCUUGGAGGUAUCUCACGUGGACCCUGGAUACCCAAGCUUUGCUUUUUGGACCUUCCUUAGGUGGAGGGUAGAGCCUGUCUCUUCCAGUCUUGCACUUCUGCAUAGCGACACUAGAGGGCAGCAAGAGACUACAGACACUUUGGAAGACAGGCAGGUCAUUUUGCCUGUCCUUCCUUUUGGUAUAGCCUGUACCAGGGAUGCGCCACCCGUUGUAGUUUCUUCUUGCUGGGUUUCUUGUGUGCUAGGAAAGUUCCAAAGGUACAUAAGCCAAGAGCUGAUCAUUGCAGUUCCUUCGGGGUGUUUUCCUCUCUCCCCAAGUUUGCUUUAGCUGAUUGAUUUACUAAAAUCAGCCAAUAUUUCCUGGUACUUAUGUCUCUGUUACCAGGUUUCAUGUUUUAAGUAUUAAAUGGGUUCAAGAAUCCAAAAUGCGGGAGUUCCCACCAUGGCUCAGCGGAAAUAAAUCCAUCUAGUAUCCAUGAGGUUUCAGGUUCAAUUCCCUGGCCUUGCUCAGAGGCUUAAGGGUCCGACAUUGCCAUGAGCUGCAGUGUAGAUCACUGAUGAGGCCCAGAUCCCACGUUACUGUGGUUGUAGUGUAGACAGGCAGCUACAGGUCCGAUUCAACCCCUAGCCUGGGAACUUCCAUAUGCCAUGGGUGCGGCCC